rnacentral:rRNA from 1 species
CCUACGGGAGGCAGCAGUAGGGAAUCUUCCACAAUGGGCGAAAGCCUGAUGGAGCAACGCCGCGUGGGUGAAGAAGGUCUUCGGAUCGUAAAACCCUGUUGUUAGAGAAGAAAGUGCGUGAGAGUAACUGUUCACGUUUCGACGGUAUCUAACCAGAAAGCCACGGCUAACUACGUGCCAGCAGCCGCGGUAAUACGUAGGUGGCAAGCGUUAUCCGGUUUUAUUUGGCGUAAAGGGAACGCAGGCGGUCUUUUAAGUCUGAUGUGAAAGCCUUCGGCUUAACCGGAGUAGUGCAUUGGAAACUGGGAGACUUGAGUGCAGAAGAGGAGAGUGGAACUCGAUGUGUAGCGGUGAAAUGCGUAGAUAUAUGGAAGAACACCAGUGGCGAAAGCGGCUCUCUGGUCUGUAACUGACGCUGAGGUUCGAAAGCGUGGGUAGCAAACAGGAUUAGAUACCCGGGUAGGC